AUCACUGUUCCUUGCACCGUC
rnacentral:miRNA from 1 species